AGCGAACGCUGGCGGCGUGCCUAAUACAUGCAAGUCGAACGGUGUAGCAAUACCUAGCGGCGCACGGGUGAGGAACGCGUGGAUAAUCUGCCUUAGAGUGGGGGAUAACUAGUCGAAAGAUUAGCUAAUACCGCAUAAGACCACAGGAGCUGCGGCUCUAGGGGUCAAAGGUUUUUCGCUCUAAGAUGAGUCCGCGUAAGAUUAGCUAGUUGGUGAGGUAACGGCUCACCAAGGCGACGAUCUUUAACUGGUCUGAGAGGAUGAUCAGUCACACUGGAACUGAGACACGGUCCAGACUCCUACGGGAGGCAGCAGUAGGGAAUAUUGCACAAUGGAGGAAACUCUGAUGCAGCGACGCCGCGUGAGUGAUGAAGGCCUUCGGGUCGUAAAGCUCUGUCGCAGGGGAAUAACACAAUGAAUGUACCCUGUAAGAAAGGAUCGGCUAACUUCGUGCCAGCCGCCGCAGUAAGAC
rnacentral:rRNA from 1 species